GAUGAACGCUGGCGGCGUGCCUAAUACAUGCAAGUCGAACGAAACUUCUUUAUCACCGAGUGCUUGCACUCACCGAUAAAGAGUUGAGUGGCGAACGGGUGAGUAACACGUGGGCAACCUGCCCAAAAGAGGGGGAUAACACUUGGAAACAGGUGCUAAUACCGCAUAACCAUAGUUACCGCAUGGUAACUAUGUAAAAGGUGGCUAUACUACCGCUUUUGGAUGGGCCCGCGGCGCAUUAGCUAGUUGGUAGGGUAAAGGCUUACCAAGGCAAUGAUGCGUAGCCGAAUUGAGAGGUUGAUCGGCCACAUUGGGACUGAGACACGGCCCAAACUCCUACGGGAGGCAGCAGUAGGGAAUCUUCCACAAUGGGCGAAAGCCUGAUGGGGCAACGCCGCGUGGGUGAAGAAGGUCUUCGGAUCGUAAAACCCUGUUGUUAGAGAAGAAAGUGCGUGAGAGUAACUGUUCACGUUUCGACGGUAUCUAACCAGAAAGCCACGGCUAACUACGUG
rnacentral:rRNA from 1 species